rnacentral:rRNA from 1 species
UGGGGAAUAUUGGACAAUGGGCGAAAGCCUGAUCCAGCCAUGCCGCGUGUGUGAAGAAGGUCUUCGGAUUGUAAAGCACUUUAAGUUGGGAGGAAGGGCAGUAAGCGAAUACCUUGCUGUUUUGACGUUACCGACAGAAUAAGCACCGGCUAACUCUGUGCCAGCAGCCGCGGUAAUACAGAGGGUGCAAGCGUUAAUCGGAAUUACUGGGCGUAAAGCGCGCGUAGGUGGUUCGUUAAGUUGAAUGUGAAAGCCCCGGGCUCAACCUGGGAACUGCAUCCAAAACUGGCGAGCUAGAGUAGGGCAGAGGGUGGUGGAAUUUCCUGUGUAGCGGUGAAAUGCGUAGAUAUAGGAAGGAACACCAGUGGCGAAGGCGACCACCUGGGCUCAUACUGACACUGAGGUGCGAAAGCGUGGGGUGCAAACAGG